rnacentral:rRNA from 1 species
UACAGGCUUAACACAUGCAAGUCGAGGGGCAGCAUGGUCUUAGCUUGCUAAGGCCGAUGGCGACCGGCGCACGGGUGAGUAACACGUAUCCAACCUGCCGUCUACUCUUGGACAGCCUUCUGAAAGGAAGAUUAAUACAAGAUGGCAUCAUGAGUCCGCAUGUUCACAUGAUUAAAGGUAUUCCGGUAGACGAUGGGGAUGCGUUCCAUUAGAUAGUAGGCGGGGUAACGGCCCACCUAGUCUUCGAUGGAUAGGGGUUCUGAGAGGAAGGUCCCCCACAUUGGAACUGAGACACGGUCCAAACUCCUACGGGAGGCAGCAGUGAGGAAUAUUGGUCAAUGGGCGAGAGCCUGAACCAGCCAAGUAGCGUGAAGGAUGACUGCCCUAUGGGUUGUAAACUUCUUUUAUAAAGGAAUAAAGUCGGGUAUGGAUACCCGUUUGCAUGUACUUUAUGAAUAAGGAUCGGCUAACUCCGUGCCAGCAGCCGCGGUAAUACGGAGGAUCCGAGCGUUAUCCGGAUUUAUUGGGUUUAAAGGGAGCGUAGAUGGAUGUUUAAGUCAGUUGUGAAAGUUUGCGGCUCAACCGUAAAAUUGCAGUUGAUACUGGAUAUCUUGAGUGCAGUUGAGGCAGGCGGAAUUCGUGGUGUAGCGGUGAAAUGCUUAGAUAUCACGAAGAACUCCGAUUGCGAAGGCAGCCUGCUAAGCUGCAACUGACAUUGAGGCUCGAAAGUGUGGGUAUCAAACAGGAUUAGAUACCCUGGUAGUCCACACGGUAAACGAUGAAUACUCGCUGUUUGCGAUAUACAGCAAGCGGCCAAGCGAAAGCGUUAAGUAUUCCACCUGGGGAGUACGCCGGCAACGGUGAAACUCAAAGGAAUUGACGGGGGCCCGCACAAGCGGAGGAACAUGUGGUUUAAUUCGAUGAUACGCGAGGAACCUUACCCGGGCUUAAAUUGCAGAUGAAUUACGGUGAAAGCCGUAAGCCGCAAGGCAUCUGUGAAGGUGCUGCAUGGUUGUCGUCAGCUCGUGCCGUGAGGUGUCGGCUUAAGUGCCAUAACGAGCGCAACCCUUGUUGUCAGUUACUAACAGGUUCCGCUGAGGACUCUGACAAGACUGCCAUCGUAAGAUGUGAGGAAGGUGGGGAUGACGUCAAAUCAGCACGGCCCUUACGUCCGGGGCUACACACGUGUUACAAUGGGGGGUACAGAGGGCCGCUACCACGCGAGUGGAUGCCAAUCCCCAAAACCUCUCUCAGUUCGGACUGGAGUCUGCAACCCGACUCCACGAAGCUGGAUUCGCUAGUAAUCGCGCAUCAGCCACGGCGCGGUGAAUACGUUCCCGGGCCUUGUACACACCGCCCGUCAAGCCAUGGGAGCCGGGGGUACCUGAAGUGCGUAACCGCGAGGAGCGCCCUAGGGUAAAACUGGUGACUGGGGCUAAGA